UGGGGAAUAUUGGACAAUGGGGGCAACCCUGAUCCAGCCAUGCCGCGUGUGUGAAGAAGGCCUUUUGGUUGUAAAGCACUUUAAGCAGUGAAGAAGACUCCAUGGUUAAUACCCAUGGACGAUGACAUUAGCUGCAGAAUAAGCACCGGCUAACUCUGUGCCAGCAGCCGCGGUAAUACAGAGGGUGCAAGCGUUAAUCGGAAUUACUGGGCGUAAAGCGAGCGUAGGUGGCUUGAUAAGUCAGAUGUGAAAGCCCCGGGCGUAACCUGGGAACGGCAUCUGAUACUGUUAGGCUAGAGUAGGUGAGAGGAAGGUAGAAUUCCAGGUGUAGCGGUGAAAUGCGUAGAGAUCUGGAGGAAUACCGAUGGCGAAGGCAGCCUUCUGGCAUCAUACUGACACUGAGGUUCGAAAGCGUGGGUAGCAAACA
rnacentral:rRNA from 1 species